AAUUAUUAAAGGGCCGCGGUAUUUUGACUGUGCAAAGGUAGCAUAAUCAUUUGUCUCUUAAUUGGAGGCUGGAAUGAAUGGUUGAAUGAAAUAUUAACUGUCUCAUUUUUAAAAUUUUAAAAACUUAGCUUUUAAGUCAAAAGGCUUAAAUAAAUUUAGAGGACGAGAAGACCCUAUAGAUCUUUAUAAUUUAUUUAAUUUUAUAAAAUAGAAAAAUAAUAAAUAAAAUUAAUAUAAUUAUUUUAUUGGGGUGAUAGGAAAAUUUAAUAAACUUUUUUUAUUUAUUAACAUUGAUUUAUGAUUAAUUGAUCCAUUUUUAGUGAUUAUAAGAUUAAGUUACCUUAGGGAUAACAGCGUAAUUUUUUUAG
rnacentral:rRNA from 2 species